AUAUAUGGCUAUGGCUGUACAUAUUCUAAAUUUGGAAUGAUACAGAGGAGAUUAGCCUGGCCCCUGCAAAAGGAUGAUAUGCAAAUUCAUGAAGCAUUUCCUAUUUUU